rnacentral:rRNA from 1 species
UAGUAGCGUAUAUUAAUGUUGUUGCAGUUAAAAAGCUCGUAGUUGGAUUUCUGGUUUGAUGUGUCUGGCCCGUUGUUAUGCAACGUUGUGCUGUGAUAUCAUCUGCCAUCCCUUCCAGGGAGUGGUUGUCAGCUUUCGGGUUGACUUCCGUAUACGACCUGGAUCUUUUACUUUGAGAAAAUUAGAGUGUUCAAAGCAGGCUUGCGCUACUGAAUACAUUAGCAUGGAAUAAUAAUAUAGGACUUUGGUUCUAUUUGUUGGUUCAAGAGCUGAAGUAAUGAUUGAUAGGGAUAGUUGGGGGUGCUAGUAUUCUGCGGUCAGAGGUGGAAUUCUUGGAUUCGCGGAAGACUAACUAAUGCGAAAGCAUUCACCAAGGAUGUCUUCUUUAA